rnacentral:rRNA from 1 species
GACGAACGCUGGCGGCGUGCUUAACACAUGCAAGUCGAACGGAAAGGCCCUGCUUUUGUGGGGUGCUCGAGUGGCGAACGGGUGAGUUACACGUGAGUAACCUUCCCUUUACUUUGGGAUAACUUCAGGAAACUGGGGCUAAUACCGGCUAGGAGCUCCUGCUGCAUGGUGGGGGUUGGAAAGUUUCGGCGGUUGGGGAUGGACUCGCGGCUUAUCAGCUUGUUGGUGGGGUAGUGGCUUACCAAGGCUUUGACGGGUAGCCGGCCUGAGAGGGUGACCGGCCACAUUGGGACUGAGAUACGGCCCAGACUCCUACGGGAGGCAGCAGUGGGGAAUAUUGCACAAUGGGCGGAAGCCUGAUGCAGCAACGCCGCGUGCGGGAUGACGGCCUUCGGGUUGUAAACCGCUUUCGCCUGUGACGAAGCGUGAGUGACGGUAAUGGGUAAAGAAGCACCGGCUAACUACGUG